CAUGUGUGCUCGCUGCCAGGGCCCCUCCCCUCUGCCACAGCAGGAACACGCGCCGCUGCAGACCGGCUUCCUAUAAAGCCUGUUCACACUGUGCCCUGCUGCUGAUCCGAUUCCACAGCUCCCCCUGAACACCCGCCCUGUCCCCGGACAGCUGAAGGUUUUGAACCAUCCCAGAGGAUCCCUGAUCCAUCAUUUCAGAAACAUGAUCAUCAGACUGGGCAGGCUUACACCUGGAUACUUCCGCCUUCUUCAGAGGCAGGUGGCUGGUGAGGUCCAGACGCAGUCACACGACCGCACCGUCAACCAGAUCGCCAUGAUGCUGGCCAUCAUGGGUCUUAGUUUGUCUUAUUACAGCGCCAAACAGAUGACUGAGAAGGUCCACGUCCAGCCGGCACCCUGAAGAGACGCGGUCGCUCCACAGUCUUGAGAUGACGGAUGAACCAAUGACAACUGGAGGAGACCACAGAGGUGGAGGCAGGAAGCGAGAUGUGGCGGUGUGUCUCUGGACAGCACUUUUCUCACCUCAGUCUUUGAUCUCACCCAUCCACUGAUUCCCUGGGAUCCUCCACACAUAAGUGGCAGAGCUUUAUAGGGUUUAUCAUAAAGAAAUAAUUUUCAAACUUAUUCUUGCCAGAACUUUUGGCGAUUUUUAAGGGGAUAUGCUUAUUGGGGGUCACAGGGAGAACUGGUUUGGGUUUUUGGUAACCAGUUUACUGCCAAAUGGGUCUGAGAAUUAGUCAUAGCGAAGGUGCAUGCUUACAUGAUGCCAUCAGUUCUAUAAAAGGGAGAAUAAACUUCACUGUGAAACAUGAUUUGUCCAAAAAGGGUUAUUUUCUGAAUUCUCCUUUUUAAGGGAGGGCUGACUGAGCUGUUCCUCCUAAUGAAGUGAUGGCAGACCCAAAGCAUGGUUAAAAGAGGAUGAAAUGAUACCUUUUUAAUACCUUAAUAUUUUUUUUAUAUAUAUUUUUCCCUUCAGAAUCUUUUAGAGCCUUCUGACCAGAUCAGAAACUGAUCUGUCUGUAUAUAUGAGCUGUUUCUGUCAGUGAAUAUUUGCACAACACUAUCGAAACCUUUUAAAAUGCUGAAGUGGAUAGGGACUCUGAACUACUCUCUGUAUUAAUGCGUAAUUUCAUCGUUUAACAAAUCACAAAGUUGUCUCUGUGUGACUUUGUUCUUAAGAGUCUUCCUUGCAGGAUCUUCCAAUGUUAAUGCAAUCAUGUACCUUUAGUAGAAUGGCAUGUAUGUGUAGAAAUCUUAUCAUUGCAAUCUUCACAAGUCUUGUUUUUUUUUUUUAUUGAUGAAUGAAUGUAACACUUUGGUUUGUAAUGAUUUAAUAAAGCUGUGACUAUUUUAAAAGAUUU